rnacentral:rRNA from 1 species
GAUGAACGCUGGCGGCGUGCCUAACACAUGCAAGUCGAACGAAGCACUUCGAUUUCUUCGGAAUGAAAAGUGACUGAGUGGCGGACGGGUGAGUAACGCGUGGGUAACCUGCCUCAUACAGGGGGAGUAACAGUUAGAAAUAGGCUGCUAAUACCGCAUAAGCGCACAGUACCGCAUGGUACCGUGUGAAAACUACCGGUGGUAUGAGAUGGACCCGCGUCUGAUUAGCUAGUUGGCAAGGUAACGGCUUACCAAGGCGACGAUCAGUAGCCGGCCUGAGAGGGUGAUCGGCCACAUUGGGACUGAGACACGGCCCAA